AAAAAACGCGACUUUGAUCAAGGCUGAGCUCCUCCAUUGCCCAGGUAAUCCACUGUACAAAAUCCUCACAUUGAUUCCUUAAAAUGCACUGAUACGAUAAUGCACUCCAUAUCUCCCUUGUAACAUGACAGUCACGAAAUAAAUGAUUCAUUGUUUCAGCUCCUUCUCCACAUUGGGGGCAGCUUGGAUUUGCUACUAACUUCCGGUGCUGGAGAUUCACCUUCGUAGGCAGAUAAUUCCAAGAUAGCUUCCAUAUUGUAACCUUAAUUUUAGCUGGUAGAUUCAGGCACCAAAGUUUUUUGUAAAAAUUUCCAUAGAUGGUCUGUAAAGCAUAAGCUCUAGGAUUUUCAGUCAAUUUUUGUAAUAGUUGAUAGGCGCUUCUGACCGUAAACUCACCCUACCGUUCGCCUCCCCAGAUAAGAAAAUCAUCAUGCGGUGUUUGUGCCAGAGGAAUUCUGAGGAUUCUAGCUGCAUCGUCUUCCAAGAAGGUACUAGAAAUCAACUCUCUUUUCCAACUUCUAGUAUUAUAAUCAAUCAACUCAUCAACUUUAACAUCACACAUAGAAUUAAUAUCUGAUGAUAGUCUAAAAUUAAUAGAAUCUGGAAUCCAAGCAUCAUUUAUGAAAAUAUUAGUACCCGUCCCCACCCUCCAACAGUGCCCUUUAGCCAAUAAGUCCUUUGCUGCCCAAAUGCUUUUCCAUAUAUACGAACUAGAAUUUCCUAAAAUGGAAUUUAAGAAAUUAUCAUUCGAGAAAUACUUAGCUUUAAACACUUGCGUAACGAGCGCAUUCUGAUUGUUCAUAAUCCUCCACCCUUGCUUAGCCAAUAAAGCUACAUUAAACUGUGCCAUAUUCCGGAAGCCCAUACCACCCUCCUCUUUAGGCCUACACAUGAAUUCCCAUUGACACCAAUGGAUUCCUUUCUUCCCUUUUCCUUUCUGCCACCAAAAUCUAGCAAAUAAACUGUCAAACUCAUCACAAAGCGAUUUUGGUAAUAGAAAACAUGUCAUAGCAUAAGUAGGAAUUGCCUGAAGAACUGAUUUAAUGAAAACCUCUCUACCCCCUUGAGAUAGGAAGUGAGAACUCCAAUUAUCAAUCCUUUGCUUUAUUCUAUCUUUAAGAUUCUGGAACGAUUCUUUUUCCUUCCGGCCUACAAUAUUUGGCAAUCCAAGAUAUUUUUCCAUAUUAUUCGAACAUCUUAUUCCCAACUCAGCCGAUAACCUGCUUUUAUCCCCCUCCUUCAAAUUCGAGCUAAAAAAGAUCAUGGAUUUAUUGAAAUUAACGCAUUGACCAGAACAAGCCUCAUAUUCUUGCAAAAUGGCUUUGAGGUUCCUUGCACUACUUACGGUGGCUUCACCAAACAAAAUGCAAUCGUCUGCAAAUAGCAAGUGCGAUAUUAUCGGGCCUCUUCUGCUGGCUCUCACCCCUUUAAUCAACCCCUUUUCUGUAGCAUUCCUGAUUAAAGACGAUAAACCUUCACUGCAAAUAAGAAAAAGAAAAGGGCUAAGUGGGUCACCCUGUCGGAGUCCUCUGGUUGGUUCAAAGACUCUACCAUUCCUCCCAUUUGUAGUUACAACAUAAGAGACUGUAGAAAUACAUCUCAUUAUUAAUACGACCCAGUCCUUCGCAAAUCUCAUCCGUAGCAUAACUUCCUUCAAGAAAGCCCAUUCCACCCUAUCAUAAGCUUUACUCAUGUCAAGCUUAAUUGCCAUAAAACCUUUCUUCCCCUUACGUUUUUUCCUAAGUGUAUGCAGAAUUUCAUAAGCAAUCAAGACAUUAUCCGAAAUAAGCCUCCCCGGGAUAAAAGCGCUUUGAGCACUAUCAAUGCAUCGUCCAAUGACCUCCUGAAGACGAUUGGCAAUAGCUUUAGCAAUAAUUUUAUAGAGAACUGUACAUAGACUAAUUGGUCUAAAAUCAGAAAGGUUUGUAGGAUUGGACUUCUUCGGAAUAAGGGUGAUCUUAGUUACGUUUAACCCUUCCAUAUCUUUUCCAUUAUUUAAAACUCCUAAACAGAAAUUCCCAAUAUCUUCUCCCACAAUAUCCCAGUAUUUUUGAAAGAACAGAGCCGGGAAACCAUCAUAACCUGGAGCUUUUGUUGAACCCAUUCCCUUUACUGCAAUGUAAAUCUCCUCUAUCGUAAACUUUUUCAAGAGGAUUUCAUUUAUAUCCGAAGAGAUGCAAUUCUGAAUGCCUGUUAGAAGAUGAGAAGGAUCUCCAACGCCUGUAGUCGAGAAAAGCUUUUGAAAAUACUGCGUCGCCAUCUCAUUAAUUUCUAACUCCUCAGUAAUUCCUCUCCCAUCAUCACUAUCAAGUCUACUGAUUGUAUUAAUUCUUCUCCGCGUUGACGCAUAUUUAUGAAAAAAUGCUGUGUUCUUAUCCCCUAACUUUAGCCAAUUAGCUCGUGCUCUCUGUUCCCAAUACAUCUCCUCCUUUUCGAUUUCCAUGCUCAGAUGGAUUCUUUUAUCAAUCAUCUGGUUCAUAGCAUCUUCAUCAAGUUCCUUCUUCAUUAAGUCGUCAAGCUCUUUUGUAAUUCUUUCCGUCAUUCCCUUUCGCUGCUUCUUAAUGGAUUUAGCCCAUUUCGAUAACCUAAUCUGUAAGUUCUCAAGCUUUUCCAAAACCGAUCCAUUUGUAAACUUCCAGGCUUCCCGAAUUUCUUCUUCUAUUGACUCCUCUGUAGUCCACCAAGCUUCAAAUUUAAAACUAGGGGCUAUCUUGAAUCUAUUAACUGUGCUUAUUAGCAAAGGACAAUGAUCCGAAAGAGUCGAUGUUAGAUGAUUAAUAUUGCCCGUUGGAAAUAAUUCCAUCCAUUUUUCAUUCGCAACACCCCUAUCCAAUCUUUCUCGUAUAUUCGUCUCUGGUAAAUUUCCUCUUUCCCAUGUAUACCAUACUCCUGAAUAUCCCAAGUCUGAAAGGUGGCAUUCUUGUAGAGUUUCCCGAAACAUUGCCAUCUUCCUUUCCUCCCUCGGUUGACCUCCUUUUUUUUCAAAAGAAUAAGCUAUUUCAUUAAAAUCUCCACUCACUAACCAAGGAUAUUCUUACUCCUGUCCCAAGGUCUUUAGUAGAUCUCAUGAAGCAUUUUUAUUUUGUGAGUAGGGAGAGCCAUAAAACCCUGUAAAUCUCCAAUCUUCGUGAGCACCUUCUCCUUUAACCAGCACAUCAAUAUGACUAAUUGACAGAGAUCUAAGGUGAAUUUGAACCUCCUCCUGCCAUGCUAAACAAAUCCCACCUCGUGAACCAAUAGCUCCUACUUCAAGUCCAUUCGUGAAGCCACACCUUCUUCUAAUUGCUUCCAUACGCUUUUCACUUAUUUUAGUCUCCAUGAAGAAGACUAAUUGAAGAUUAUUUUGCUUCAGUAAAAACAGAAGUUUUCUUAUUGCCUGUGGACUCCCCAAUCCACGGACAUUCCAGCAUAUGAUUUUCAUUGCACCCGGUCGUCUUGCCCAUUGGCAGCCGCCGAUCCUGUCUGGUUGGAAAAUUCCAUUUAGAAAUUGGUUUCAUUAUUUGUAGCUAGAUCCUGUUCAACAAGUCUCGCCUUUUUUAGAUUCUCUUCCUGAAUUUCCUUUACCCCAUAUUCAUCUUGCACUAACUCUGCCCAUUUCCUUUUUUGCAAUUUACGAUCAGCCUCAUGGAUCUCCUUCCCGCCCACUAUUUUCCGUCUUUUCCAACUAGCUUUCCUGGCUAAGACCUGAUUAUUGACGAAACUAUCUACAGUAUCUCCUUCAAUGAUACCUAUUUCCUUUUGUGAUUCACGAACUGCAAUAGCUGAUGCCAAACAAGUAUUAUCCUGGAUCCCUCUCACUAAACCACUACUUUGCUCCCUGUACUGAUAUUCUUCCUGAUCCUUUAUAAUACCUCCAACAUAAGAGCAUUGUGAUUGUGAUUUUUUCAAUAAAGCAUUAAACUUUAAACUUUCCCUUCCCACCAACGUUGAUUCUGCUUUUAAUGCUAAAGAAAAAGGUGGAUCCACUUUAAUUCUGUUUUUCUCUGCAGGAGUGAAUUCUGAGCAAUCGUGGAUACCAUGCCCCAACUUGCCACAUCCAAAACAGUAAGUCGGCAACUUUUCAUACUUAAAGGGAAUCCAAGAUUUAUUCCCACUCCCUAUUGAAACAAAAAUACCCCUGCGAAGAGGUUUCUGAACAUUUAACAGCACUCUAAGCCGACAAAAUUCACCAAGAAUUUCAGAUCUGAUGACCCCUCCAAAAGUGACUCCUAUAGCAUGCAAAAGAUCUUUUUUGUCAAACUCUGGUAGGCACGGCCCAAUCUUAAUCCAAAACGGUGAUGAGACAAGUCGAAUUUGAUCUCUUAGCAUUGAAUUAUUCAACCGAUCAAACAGGAUUAAUUGCUUCCUAAACAACCAUGGUUGGCCUUCCAGAACAGUCUCUAAAUCCUCUUCUAAUUCAAACGCAAUCAAAAAGAGAUUUUGCCUAGCAAUUUGAAUCACAAAUUUCUUCUUUGUCUUCCAAAUACUCCUCAUCUGUGCUUUGAA
rnacentral:lncRNA from 1 species